GGCGAACGCUGGCGGCGUGCCUAAUACAUGCAAGUAGAACGCUGAAGGAGGAGCUUGCUCCUCUGGAUGAGUUGCGAACGGGUGAGUAACGCGUAGGUAACCUGCCUGGUAGCGGGGGAUAACUAUUGGAAACGAUAGCUAAUACCGCAUAACAGUAGAUAUUGCAUGAUAUCCGCUUAAAAGGUGCAAUUGCAUCACUACCAGAUGGACCUGCGUUGUAUUAGCUAGUUGGUGGGGUAACGGCUCACCAAGGCGACGAUACAUAGCCGACCUGAGAGGGUGAUCGGCCACACUGGGACUGAGACACGGCCCAGACUCCUACGGGAGGCAGCAGUAGGGAAUCUUCGGCAAUGGACGGAAGUCUGACCGAGCAACGCCGCGUGAGUGAAGAAGGUUUUCGGAUCGUAAAGCUCUGUUGUAAGAGAAGAACGAGUGUGAGAGUGGAAAGUUCACACUGUGACGGUAUCUUACCAGAAAGGGACGGCUAACUACGUGC
rnacentral:rRNA from 1 species